rnacentral:ncRNA from 1 species
UAUGGAUAAUGGCAAAACUGUCGAAAAGCAGCGACGCAAAGCCACGGGUCUUCUCACUAUUUAUGUGAUGACAGCGGGUUACCCAA